AUGAACGCUGGCGGCGUGCUUAACACAUGCAAGUCGAACGAAGCACUCAUGACAGAUUCUUCGGAUGAUGGAUUGAUUGACUGAGUGGCGGACGGGUGAGUAACGCGUGGGUAACCUGCCUCAUACAGGGGGAUAACAGUUAGAAAUGACUGCUAAUACCGCAUAAGCGCACAGUACCGCAUGGUACGGUGUGAAAAACUCCGGUGGUAUGAGAUGGACCCGCGUCUGAUUAGCUAGUUGGUGGGGUAACGGCCUACCAAGGCGACGAUCAGUAGCCGGCCUGAGAGGGUGAACGGCCACAUUGGGACUGAGACACGGCCCAAACUCCUACGGGAGGCAGCAGUGGGGAAUAUUGCACAAUGGGGGAAACCCUGAUGCAGCGACGCCGCGUGAGUGAUGAAGUAUUUCGGUAUGUAAAGCUCUAUCAGCAGGGAAGAAAAUGACGGUACCUGACUAAGAAGCACCGGCUAAAUACGUG
rnacentral:rRNA from 1 species